rnacentral:rRNA from 1 species
AAUAUUGCGCAAUGGGGGGAACCCUGACGCAGCAACGCCGCGUGAGCGACGAAGGCCUUCGGGUCGUAAAGCUCUGUCAUAGGGGACGAAACAAGACUGUACCCUAAGAGGAAGCCCCGGCUAACUACGUGCCAGCAGCCGCGGUAACACGUAGGGGGCAAACGUUGUCCGGAAUUACUGGGCGUAAAGCGCGCGUAGGCGGUCAAUUAAGUCAGGUGUGAAAGGCCCGGGCUUAACCCGGGUAUUGCACUUGAAACUGAUUGACUUGAGGACAGGCGAGGGAAGUGGAAUUCCUAGUGUAGCGGUGAAAUGCGUAGAUAUUAGGAAGAACACCAGUGGCGAAGGCGACUUCCUGGACUGUAACUGACGCUGAGGUGCGAAAGCGUGGGUAGCGAACA